CAGAGUAAUAUUGGACAUCAUGAGAUUUGAAGUCCUUCGUCUCAGGAUGGCGAGCGACGUGAAAUGCCAUAGUACUUUAUAAUUCAAAGUUCUGACUGGUCUUGUUAAUUUCUUUGGGUGGUCGUAUCGCUUACUAUCAGGACAACGGCAUUCCAAUCCAAUAAAAAAAAUCACCAAGACAGCAGUUUGCACUCGUUUGUUAUUUUGAUCAUUAUGGUCAUGGAGGUUAACGCCUAUCUGUCGAAUUUCUGCUGCGUUGCCUUACGAAGACACGAGUUCAUGCAAACGAACUGAAGACUUGUGCUGAUUCAUCAUCGUCAGGAAGGGUGGGUGCAGCCUCGGUCAAUUUAUAACUCCGCGAGACGCGUGACGCCUCUCGGACGACGCAACGCAAACUGCAUCCGAGUUCUGACUCCCACUGAUGAAGCGACAAGAAGCUGCUCCGAAAUCAAUAUGCCCUCGAGCCUCGACAUCUCACGAAGCGACGCGCACUGCGCCGAGCAAGAGCGCAGGUGCGAGCAGUUUUAGAGAUGAGGCUUAUUUACAAUACUAGGUUUUAAAACUAGGUCUUUAAAAUACGCGCAUACUGUAAAAAGUGUUCUUAGAUACAAGAAUAUAGAUUUAAGGGUGUAGUUCGUCACCUUCUGGGUCUUCUGGCUCGAUAAUCUUCCGCUUCAGAUUCCAAUAAGGAGUUUCUGUAGUGCUCUUUUUCCACUGUGUUCUUCAGUUGCUUCAUGGGGUAGUUUUCCAGCUCUGCAUCUGCCAUCAUUUUCACGUAGUUCUCAAUAAUGACCACGUGUGCAGAUGUAUCAACCUACGAAAUCUAGAAGUUCUCUCAGUCCAGAGUUUGGUGUUUGGCAUAUGUAAUGAUCGCGUAAUAAAAGUCUGGAUACCUUGCUUGUUAUAACUUAAUGUGGGAUACCUAGUUUUGAACUCUGCUAGUUAGGGGUUUUAUUGCUGGGCCGAAUUCCAAGUAGGCUCUCAAACUAACCGGGAAUCUUCAAGGUUUUACAGUGGAAUUUGAUUGACUUAUCCAUGUAUUUCAUGGCAUACAAUGAGGCAUAUUUCCAAACUGUUUUCACUUGUGUUAAGACCUUGAUCUCAGUUCCUGUUUUCUCUAUGGUUAGCGCUCAGCUGCCGAGCCACGAUUGCACGACGGAGUGAAUCCCUCCCUUCAUGAGGUUUGCCCAGCAGGAUUAUGCUAGGUCAUGCACAAUCUAAAAAAUAUCUGCGGUAUUGAGGUUGGAGACUGCUGUCUUCCAUCCCUUGGAGUAAGCAACGUGAUUUGGGGUUAUGAUGGAUUUUGCGAGAGUGUUCUUCGUUAACAUCUCAUGUCUUAGGUGACAAACUCCGUUCAGUAUAAAACAGUGACUUUAAUUCAGCUCACCGAUUCAUCUCCCAAUCCUGGUGCUACUAUUAGUAAUGCGUGAUCUCAUCGCUUCAGAAUAUCAUUUAUAUCAUUCGAUAUUAAAUCGACCGUCGAGUCGUCGAUUCAUCAUUCAAGUGGAUAAACAAAAUUAUGGAUUCAUUGUUUAUGUUACUUUGUAAUAAAUUUAUUUUACUUUGUAAUAAAUGUGGGGUACACGACCGGAAUCUGAUUUCAGAAAUGUUGUUUAGCCAGUUUUUACUUUAAAGGUUAUAUGAGGAGAAAUAUUUAGUUUCAAAAGAAAAGCGGGACAAUACUGGCGAUAGGAGGUUAAGAAUUGUACGAAAUACCUUUACGUAUACUAUUUACAAAAAUACUGGACUCAAAUACUUGGUAUUCGAGUCAGGUAUUUUUAAGUACUGUUAUUUAAAAGCCCAUAUGCCCCAUCCCUAAUUCCGUUGCACUCCGUAAGCCGCGGGUCACGGCAUGGCGUGCGCCGCCUUUUGUUAUGUAGCCAACUAUCAGGAACGUGGGGAGUCUCGCCUGACAUUUCAGUUACUGUAUGUCAGUACAAUUUUUUCUGUGCUCGCAGAUCUCCGGGACUAAGCAAGAAAUAGAGUACACUCCCAUGUAUGGAAAAUGUUCAAAGUAGCUUAUGGUAUUUAUUUUUUGGAAGACGGAAGCGCUCCACAAAACCAUUUAUGCUAUGUUAGCGAAUCUAUUUUUGUAAUUAUCUUUCGAUUGCACAGCGAAUAAUUCAGUAUUAAACCGUAUUUCAUUUUAA